GACGAACGCUGGCGGCGUGCUUAACACAUGCAAGUCGAGCGGAAAGGCCCUUCGGGGUACUCGAGCGGCGAACGGGUGAGUAACUCGUGAGUAACCUGCCCCAGACUUUGGGAUAACCCUCGGAAACGGGGGCUAAUACCGGAUACGACACAGCUUCGCAUGGGGUCUGUGUGGAAAGUUUUUCGGUUUGGGAUGGGCUCGCGGCCUAUCAGCUUGUUGGUGGGGUGAUGGCCUACCAAGGCGACGACGGGUAGCCGGCCUGAGAGGGCGACCGGCCACACUGGGACUGAGACACGGCCCAGACUCCUACGGGAGGCAGCAGUGGGGAAUAUUGCACAAUGGGCGGAAGCCUGAUGCAGCGACGCCGCGUGAGGGAUGACGGCCUUCGGGUUGUAAACCUCUUUCAGCAGGGACGAAGCGUAAGUGACGGUACCUGCAGAAGAAGCGCCGGCCAACUACGUG
rnacentral:rRNA from 1 species